GGAAAAGCUUCAUACCUUAAGAUUGCUCCCAGCAAUGAAGUACUGUGGCUAGAUUGUGACUUUCUCUUCUCCAGAAAGAGUAUCUUAUACUGUAGUCACUGGAAUACAUGCCCUGCCGCUAGGAGACAAGGACAGUGUGGUAAGCACAUCAAACAAACUUUGUUUCUGCUGAAGAGGUAGUUCUUGGUUUGUUGGCCUGAAGUAAGAGAAGCUUUUCAGUAGUAGUCUGAGACUGCAGUUUUCAUGAGAAAGGAGCAAGUCAAAGGAGAAGCCCAGAGCUGUGAUGUCAAGACCCCCUUCUUCAAAGGCAUCAGAAAACUAACAAGGCAGUAAAGAUCUUUAAGAAGGAGGAAAGCAGAGAAGUAAGAACAUGGAAGAAAUUUUGAUGUGGGAUUUCUGAGCAUAAGCCUCAAGAGUCUUUGGAACUUUGGCUGCCACUCUCUUGCUGCCUACAGACUGCCAUGUGAAGAAGCUGGGGCUACCUCCUUUAGGAUGCGAGACCAUAUGAAGAGAGAGACCCAAUAGCCAAUACCAACUAUUUAGACAUAUGACUAUUCAUUCCCAGUUGAGCAAUCAGGUGAUUGCAGCUGCAUAAGUCACACCAGGGGGAAGAAGCACCCAGCUAAAUCCAGCCCAAAUUGCAGACCCACAGAAUCAUGAGCAAACAAAUUGUUGUUUUA
rnacentral:lncRNA from 1 species